GAGACACGGUCCAGACACCUACGGGUGGCAGCAGUCGAGAAUCAUUCACAAUGGGGGAAACCCUGAUGGUGCGACGCCGCGUGGGGGAAUGAAGGUCUUCGGAUUGUAAACCCCUGUCAUGUGGGAGCAAAUUAAAAAGAUAGUACCACAAGAGGAAGAGACGGCUAACUCUGUGCCAGCAGCCGCGGUAAUACAGAGGUCUCAAGCGUUGUUCGGAAUCACUGGGCGUAAAGCGUGCGUAGGCUGUUUCGUAAGUCGUGUGUGAAAGGCGCGGGCUCAACCCGCGGACGGCACAUGAUACUGCGAGACUAGAGUAAUGGAGGGGGAACCGGAAUUCUCGGUGUAGCAGUGAAAUGCGUAGAUAUCGAGAGGAACACUCGUGGCGAAGGCGGGUUCCUGGACAUUAACUGACGCUGAGGCACGAAGGCCAGGGGAGCGAAAGGGAUUAGAUACCCCUGUAGUCCUGGCAGUAAACGGUGCACGCUUGGUGUGCGGGGAAUCGACCCCCUGCGUGCCGGAGCUAACGCGUUAAGCGUGCCGCCUGGGGAGUACGGUCGCAAGAUUAAAACUCAAAGAAAUUGACGGGGACCCGCACAAGCGGUGGAGUAUGUGGCUUAAUUCGAUGCAACGCGAAGAACCUUACCUGGGCUUGACAUGUAAUGAACAACAUGUGAAAGCAUGCGACUCUUCGGAGGCGUUACACAGGUGCUGCAUGGCCGUCGUCAGCUCGUGUCGUGAGAUGUUUGGUUAAGUCCAGCAACGAGCGCAACCCCUGUUGCCAGUUACCAGCACGUGAAGGUGGGGACUCUGGCGAGACUGCCCAGAUCAACUGGGAGGAAGGUGGGGACGACGUCAGGUCAGUAUGGCCCUUAUGCCCAGGGCUGCACACGUACUACAAUGCCCAGUACAGAGGGGGCCGAAGCCGCGAGGCGGAGGAAAUCCUAAAAACUGGGCCCAGUUCGGACUGUAGGCUGCAACCCGCCUACACGAAGCCGGAAUCGCUAGUAAUGGCGCAUCAGCUACGGCGCCGUGAAUACGUUCCCGGGUCUUGUACACACCGCCCGUCACAUCAUGGAAGCCGGUCGCACCCGAAGUAUCUGAAGCCAACCGCAAGGAGGCAGGGUCCUAAGGUGAGACUGGUAACUGGGAUGAAGUCGUAACAAGGUAGCCGUAGGGGAACCUGCGGCUG
rnacentral:rRNA from 1 species